AUUGAACGCUGGCGGCAUGCCUUACACAUGCAAGUCGAACGGCAGCACGGGUGCUUGCACCUGGUGGCGAGUGGCGAACGGGUGAGUAAUACAUCGGAACAUGUCCCGUAGUGGGGGAUAGCCCGGCGAAAGCCGGAUUAAUACCGCAUACGAUCUACGGAUGAAAGCGGGGGACCUUCGGGCCUCGCGCUAUAGGGUUGGCCGAUGGCUGAUUAGCUAGUUGGUGGGGUAAAGGCCUACCAAGGCGACGAUCAGUAGCUGGUCUGAGAGGACGACCAGCCACACUGGGACUGAGACACGGCCCAGACUCCUACGGGAGGCAGCAGUGGGGAAUUUUGGACAAUGGGCGAAAGCCUGAUCCAGCAAUGCCGCGUGUGCGAAGAAGGCCUUCGGGUUGUAAAGCACUUUUGUCCGGAAAGAAAUCCUUGGCCCUAAUACGGUCGGGGGAUGACGGUACCGGAAGAAUAAGCACCGGCUAACUACGUG
rnacentral:rRNA from 1 species